CAAAAGUGUUUACUUCACUCUCGCCUUCGCCGGCAUGGCGCUGAUGGCCGCCGUGGUGGUGGGGGUGGGGGUGGCACGGCGC